rnacentral:lncRNA from 1 species
CACAUUUAAGUGAUUAGAACCUGUCAUUUUUUGUUGUUGUUUUCAGACUGACACAAAUGACAGGACAAAGAAACAUACAAGGAAAUAAAAUGAAAAUUCAGAACAGAUGUUAGGACACAUUUUUCAUGCUGAAUGUGCAGAGUGGUCAACCAGGGAUACUGAUUUGGCAGCGACCUGUACAGUAGAAGAAAACCUAUUGUGGAGAAGGAGGAGCUUGGUGAGGGAGUUUCCAGUGCCGAAAACACUGGAUGCAAAAAGAAGAAAGAAAAAAAAAGAAGAAGGAAAAAAAAAGUGA